GACGAACGCUGGCGGCGUGCCUAAUACAUGCAAGUCGAACGAGUGGCGGACGGGUGAGUAAUGUCUGGGAAACUGCCCGAUGGAGGGGGAUAACUACUGGAAACGGUAGCUAAUACCGCAUACCAUCGGAUGUUCCCAGAUGGGAUUAGCAAGUAGGUGGGGUAACGGCUCACCUAGGCGACAAUCCCUAGCUGGUCUGAGAGGAUGACCAGCCACACUGGAACUGAGCCACGGUCCAGACGCCUACGUGAGGCAUCAGUGGGGAAUAUUGCACAAUGGGCGCAAGCCUGAUGCAGCCAUGCCGCGUGUAUGAAGAAGGCCUUCGGGUUGGAAAGUACUUUCAGCGAGGAGGCGUUACUCGCAGAAGAAGCACCGGCUAACUCCGUGCCAGCAGCCGCGGUAAUAC
rnacentral:rRNA from 1 species